rnacentral:rRNA from 1 species
UACGAAGGGGGCUAGCGCUGCUCGGAAUGAUUGGGCGUAAAGGGUCCGCAGGUGGCAUUGUAAGUCUGCUGUUAAAGAGUCACGCUCAACGUGAUAAAAGCAGUGGAAACUACAAAGCUAGAGUAUGGUCGGGGCAGAGGGAAUUCCCGGUGUAGCGGUGAAAUGCGUAGAUAUCGGGAAGAACACCAGUGGCGAAGGCGCUCUGCUAGGCCAAAACUGACACUGAGGGACGAAAGCUAGGGGAGCGAAUGGG